UACGUAGGGGGCAAGCGUUAUCCGGAUUUACUGGGUGUAAAGGGAGCGCAGACGGCCAGGCAAGUCUGAUGUGAAAGGCAGGGGCUCAACCCCUGGACUGCAUUGGAAACUGUUUAGCUGGAGUACCGGAGGGGUAAGCGGAAUUCCUAGUGUAGCGGUGAAAUGCGUAGAUAUUAGGAGGAACACCAGUGGCGAAGGCGGCUUACUGGACGGUAACUGACGUUGAGGCUCGAAGGCGUGGGGAG
rnacentral:rRNA from 1 species